AUGAGGAGAGAAGGACUAAAAGCUGCUGCUUUCAUACGGAGGUCAAGACUCCGAUGGGUCAAUCAACUGAUUGACCCGGUAACAAAGGAAUGGAAGGUGGAACUAGUGAAACAAGUCUUCCAUGAGUUUGAUGCGGAUGAGAUCUGCAAGUUAAGAAUUCCGAGAGAAGAUGUGGAGGAUUGUGUAGCAUGGCAUUACGAAAAAUCUGGGAUUUUUACAGUCAAGAGUGCCUAUAAACUUGCAGACUCGAUCCAUAGAAAUAAAACGGAGAGGGCGACAAGUUCUUCAAGGGAACUGGGUGACCGCAUCAUUUGGGAUGUUAUUUGGAAGGCAAAUAUCCCAGAAAAGGUAAAGAUUUUCGGUUGGAGAGUGGCUACUAAUUCCCUGCCCACAAAGCAUAACACAUUUAGACGAACCAUAGUGGAUGACAAUGUGUGUGAAAUCUGUGGGAUGGAGAAAGAGGAUGAAUUCCAUGCCAUUAUCACCUGCACAAGAAGCCGUGCGCUAAGGCAUGCAAUGAGAAACUGUUGGGAAUUGCCUAGGGAGUCUGAUCUCAGAUAUAGUGGAGUGGACUGGCUUCAGAUGCUAUUGCUGUCUCAAACAGAGAAUGUCAGAAAUAACAUUCUGUUGGUUCUUUGGCAGGCGUGGAGUCUGAGGAACAACCUGGUGCAUGGUGAUAAGAAAGACACCGUCUUUGGUUCAGUACAGUAUCUGCUUAGGCUAAAAGAAGAUCUCAUGGUGGUCACAGGUGACCCUACCGAUGUGGCACGUAAGAACAAACAGUCCUUAUUCCCAGAAAGAGUUUGCACUCCAGUAAACCUUGUGCCCAGCAAGUGGUUUGCACCAGACCCGGGCAAAGUGAAACUAAACUGCGAUGCAACGUACUUUGAGGAAACAGGAGAAACGUGGGGAGGUGCUGUGGCUAGGAACCACAAGGGGUAUGUCCUCGUCUCGAUCGGGCGUAGGCUUGGCUGCUGCAACUCGACAGAAGAAGCAGAAGGUGCAGCAACUAUGAUGGGUCUCACAGAAUUUAGCAAAGCAUUUUGA
rnacentral:rRNA from 1 species